rnacentral:rRNA from 2 species
UGAGGAAUAUUGGUCAAUGGUCGAGAGACUGAACCAGCCAAGUAGCGUGCAGGAUGACGGCCCUCCGGGUUGUAAACUGCUUUUAGUUGGGAAUAAAGUUCGGGACGUGUCCCGUUUUGUAUGUACCAUCAGAAAAAGGACCGGCUAAUUCCGUGCCAGCAGCCGCGGUAAUACGGAAGGUCCAGGCGUUAUCCGGAUUUAUUGGGUUUAAAGGGAGCGUAGGCGGAUUAUUAAGUCAGCUGUGAAAGUUUGCGGCUCAACCGUAAAAUUGCAGUUGAUACUGAUAGUCUUGAGUGCACACAGGGAUGCUGGAAUUCGUGGUGUAGCGGUGAAAUGCUUAGAUAUCACGAAGAACUCCGAUCGCGAAGGCAGGUGUCCGGGGUGCAACUGACGCUGAGGCUCGAAAGUGCGGGUAUCAAACAGG